GGCUGGGGCACCGUGGGUUCCUGCGCUCAGGCCCAGCCCAGCCCAGCCCCGAAGGCCCAGUUACGCCAGCGGGAGAGCCCGGAGGCCAAGCCCGCAUCUUCUCACCACAGGAAGCUGGGGAGGCGAAGCUUGGACUGAACACUGCCAUUGUUAAAUCGUUUCAAUGAAGAACGCAGAAGUCUCAGGCUCUGCCGGGAAGAACGCUUCUUCUUAAGAGCAUCGCAGCUAAAAAGUGGUUUGGCUAUAAGCUGAUAAUCAGGAACAGAUUUCAACAACUCAAGGCUGCAGUGAGUGAUUUUCUGGUUUCAAAGUAACCUAAGGCCUCUGGCGAAUCCCCAAAGACGAGGAAACAGGGAGGAUGAAGGGACAACCUUUCACGUGGCAUCCCGGACCUGUCACCAGCACUCUCCUGGCUUUACCCCUGGAACCUGGGCUGGAGGGCCAGCGGCUGUUCCUGUGGCUCCCAAAGGCAGCAUUUGCUGGUGAACCACUUCAUGGGCAGUCCAGGGAUGACACAAAAGCAAUUGCAAUUGUAUGGCUGCUAGAAACUGGCAGCUUGUUUUUAAAGAUACUCUGGGCCGGAAACGUCUCCUUGUGAUGUCAAGUAGACUGAGAAAUCCUAAUUGAAAGCCCCCUUCUCAUCCAUAAAGAGGAAAAACUAAGGCAGGGGCACUAGAGAGGGUGGCAGAGAACAUUCGAUCUGAUUCUUAAACAGCUUUUUUGC